rnacentral:rRNA from 1 species
UUAGGAAUCUUGCGCAAUGGGCGAAAGCCUGACGCAGCGACGUCGCGUGACCGAUGAAGUCUUUCGGGAUGUAAAGGUCUUUUUUGGGGGAAGAAGGAUGUGACGGUACCCCAAGAAUAAGCCCCGACUAACUACGUGCCAGCAGCCGCGGUAAUACGUAGGGGGCGAGCGCUGUCCGAAUUUACUGGGCGUAAAGCGCGCGUAGGCGGAUUAUUAAGUCGGGGGUGAAAUCCCGAGGCUCAACCUCGGAACUGCCUCCGAGACUGGUAGUCUUGAGGUAUGGAGAGGGAAGUGGAAUUCCUGGUGUAGCGGUGAAAUGCGUAGAUAUCAGGAGGAACACCUGUGGCGAAGGCGGCUUCCUGGCCAUAUCCUGACGCUGAGGUGCGAAAGCCAGGGGAGCGAACGG